AUUGAACGCUGGCGGCAGGCCUAACACAUGCAAGUCGAACGAGUGGCGGACGGGUGAGUAAUGUCUGGGAAACUGCCUGAUGGAGGGGGAUAACUACUGGAAACGGUAGCUAAUACCGCAUACCAUCGGAUGUGCCCAGAUGGGAUUAGCUAGUAGGUGGGGUAAAGGCUCACCUAGGCGACGAUCCCUAGCUGGUCUGAGAGGAUGACCAGCGACACUGGAACUGAGCCACGGUCCGGACGCCUACGGGAGGCAGCAGUGGGGAAUAUUGGGCAAUGGACGAAAGUCUGACCGAGCAACGCCGCGUGAGUGAAGAAGGUUUUCGGAUUGUAAAGCUAUGUUAUUGGAGAGGCGGUACCUACCCAGAAAGCAACGGCUAACUACGUGCCAGCAGCCGCGGUAAUAC
rnacentral:rRNA from 1 species